ensembl:snRNA U6 U6 spliceosomal RNA
GUGCCUACUUCAGCAGCACACAUACUACAGUUGGAACAUACAAAGAAGAUUAGCAUGCCCCUGAGCAAAGACGACAUGCAUAUUUGUGAAGCAUUUCAUAUUUUU